rnacentral:misc_RNA from 1 species
CCGCGCCUUGCAUAUCACUUGUGUUAUCGCAAGGCAUCUACGUAUGAGUGUCAGCCUAUCAUCCUUUUGGUUUAAUAAUAAUAUUAUAUAUUAUUGAAUCCAUUAUGCGAGUAUCAUUUUUUUGAUACACGCGUUUAACAAAGUUUGUGUCUGGCCUCAUAUGUGGAAGGUUACCCGCUGGAUUUAAGC